CAGAUGUAGAAGACAAUGGCAGCUUCAGCUUAUAUCUUCCAAUUCGGAGAAACAAACCUAGGGUUGCCUAUAUCUUCCAAUUCGAAGAAACAAACCGAGGGUUUCCUAAAUCGCGAUUUCAAACCUGCAAACAACAACGACCAAAAAUAAGUCAAUGUAAUACACAACCAGAGCAAAACAAAAAAAAAAAUCCUCAAAGCUUCAACUAAUGACCGCCUUCGAUCCUUCAAUGCUACACUACGGUUCCAGUGACAGAGGAUGGUUGCUCGAAACUAGGAAAAAGAGGGUUCCCGUGAAGGAGAACGAGUGUGAGAUCACACACUGGACAGUGUGACGGAAGAAGAGACUGCGACAAUAGCGAGAAUGUGUGCGACAACAGGGUUUCAGGGUUUCAGAGAGGGAAAAUCAUGGUUGCAGUGAGGGAGGGAGAAUCAUAGUUGCAAUGAGUGAGGGAGAAUCAUGAAAUGAUGCGAGAAGGGGGACAAGCUAGGUUCGAGAAGGGGACAAACUUGGCUCGAAAGCGGGAGGGAGAAAAGCGAGAAGAGUUUAAUCCGAU
rnacentral:lncRNA from 1 species